UACGUAGGGUGCGAGCGUUAAUCGGAAUUACUGGGCGUAAAGCGUGCGCAGGCGGUGAUGUAAGACAGAUGUGAAAUCCCCGGGCUCAACCUGGGACCUGCAUUUGUGACUGCAUCGCUGGAGUGCGGCAGAGGGGGAUGGAAUUCCGCGUGUAGCAGUGAAAUGCGUAGAGAUGUGGAGGAACACCGAUGGCGAAGGCAGCCCCCUGGGUCAAGACUGACGCUCAUGCACGAAAGCGUGGGGAGCAAACAGG
rnacentral:rRNA from 1 species